UACGAAGGGGGCUAGCGUUGCUCGGAAUGACUGGGCGUAAAGGGCGCGUAGGCGGAUGGCACAGUCAGAUGGUGAAAUUCCCGGGCUUAACCUGGGGGCUGCAUUUGAUACGUGUUGUCUUGAGUUCGGAAGAGGGUCGUGGAAUUCCCAGUGUAGAGGUGAAAUCGUAGAUAUUGGGAAGAACACCGGUGGCGAAGGCGGCGACCUGG
rnacentral:rRNA from 1 species